UACGUAGGGUGCGAGCGUUUAAUCGGAAUUACUGGGCGUAAAGCGUGCCGCAGGCGGUUCGUUGUGUCGGCGGUGAAAGCCCCGGGCUCAACCUGGGAAUGGCCGUUGAAACUGGCGAACUGGAGUGUGGCAGAGGGGGGUGGAAUUCCGCGUGUAGCAGUGAAAUGCGUAGAGAUGCGGAGGAACACCGAUGGCGAAGGCAGCCCCCUGGGCUAACACUGACGCUCAGGCACGAAAGCGUGGGGAGCAAACAGG
rnacentral:rRNA from 1 species